rnacentral:rRNA from 1 species
UCCAACCUGCCCAUCACUUGGGGAUAACCUUGCGAAAGUAAGACUAAUACCCAAUGACGUCUCUAGAAGACAUCUGAAAGGGAUUAAAGAUUUAUCGGUGAUGGAUGGGGAUGCGUCUGAUUAGCUUGUUGGCGGGGUAACGGCCCACCAAGGCGACGAUCAGUAGGGGUUCUGAGAGGAAGGUCCCCCACAUUGGAACUGAGACACGGUCCAAACUCCUACGGGAGGCAGCAGUGAGGGAUAUUGGUCAAUGGACGAGAGUCUGAACCAGCCAAGUAGCGUGCAGGAUGACGGCCCUAUGGGUUGUAAACUGCUUUUAUAAGGGAAUAAAGUGAGUCUCGUGAGACUUUUUGCAUGUACCUUAUGAAUAAGGACCGGCUAAUUCCGUGCCAGCAGCCGCGGUAAUACGGAAGGUCCGGGCGUUAUCCGGAUUUAUUGGGUUUAAAGGGAGCGUAGGCCGGAGAUUAAGCGUGUUGUGAAAUGUAGACGCUCAACGUCUGCACUGCAGCGCGAACUGGUUUCCUUGAGUACGCACAAAGUGGGCGGAAUUCGUGGUGUAGCGGUGAAAUGCUUAGAUAUCACGAAGAACUCCGAUUGCGAAGGCAGCUCACUGGAGCGCAACUGACGCUGAAGCUCGAAAGUGCGGGUAUCGAACAGGAUUAGAUACCCUGGUAGUCCGCACGGUAAACGAUGGAUGCCCGCUGUUGGCCUGAACAGGUCAGCGGCCAAGCGAAAGCAUUAAGCAUCCCACCUGGGGAGU